rnacentral:sRNA from 1 species
UUAACCCAAAUUUUAGUGUCAGUAUUUGAGAGAUACAGAAUACACAAAUCUUUGUUAUGUAAGCACAGCUUAGGUCAUGUUUUUGUUUAACUUUUGAAAGUUGAAAAGAAAAUUCCAGAUUUAGACCUAAAAUGAAUGUAAAAACAAUAGGAGCUGUUUAGUUAUGUUCAAAAUGAAUGAGCAGAUAGAAAAAUCAACUUGAAAAAGAAAUUUUACUGAAUAUUUAUAUAUUCUUUAUAUUAAAUAUUAUAUUAUAUAAAGAUUAUAUUAAAUCAGUGAAAACAAAAAUAUGGCACAAGCCUUGUUUACAUAACGAAGAAGUGUGAGCUCUGUAUCUUGCUUAUAACCUUAAAACUGACUAUCAAAUUUUGGUUGAUCAUUAAAGCAUUAUAAACAAUAUAAAUAGCAAAAAAUAUUUGGCCAAAAUCGUGACCAUGUCUUUUAAAGUUGAAUGAAUCUCUUUACAUGAAUGGCACCUUGCAUGCUUUAAUAUCAAGAAUUCAAAUCAUUUUGAACAUGUAAAUGUACAAUGACUAUUGUAGGUACUCAGGUCAAGCAUAGUACAUUUGUGUAUAUUAGAUCUGUUCCAUCUAGAUAAUAGAUAAGCUGAAAUCUCAUAAAUGCAUUAUAUAUAUUUUUCCAUAAGUGAAUACAGUUAUCAGAUCAUUUUUAUUUUAAAAAUUUCAUUUAUUGUAUAUUUUAAAGUUUUUUGCCUCAUUUAAGAUUAUUCCUGCCACUUGACAUUUCAAGUUAUUCAUUAUCAUUUGUAUUGUCAGUAUUUUGUGUGGUUGUUUCAAUUUUCAUUGAUAAAGAAAUAAUUUGGCACAAUGGUGUAAGUUGUAACUAUGAUUAUUGGUGGAAGUUUAAAAAAAAUUAAAACAGCUUAUAAUCAAUAUCUGUUAACAUAACAUAUACAUGUAUGUAAUAUUUAGUUAUUUUUAUUUCAUUUGGUAUUUUUACUAUUUCAAAAUAGUAUCAUUUUAAUGGUUCAUAAUCACUUUAUUCAAUUUUUUUAAAAUUUACAUUAUUUAGUAUGUAAUUGAAGUUAAAAUAUAUGUAUGGUUUUUUCUUUACUCUUUAGACUUUUCUCACUUGUAUCUAUCUUGAAAGGGGGAUAAUUAACAGAAUACGCAUUAUUCUUUUGUUUGUAUUUAUCUAAUAAAUGAAAACCACUCU